UGCAACUGUGAGGCAACCAGUGAAAGAACUGUGUUCCAGUGUCUCAAAAUAACAAUAGAGGCAUAACACCAGUGAUGUGAGUGUCUCAACAAGAGAACUCAUGAAUGCUCACCACCAUUCAGAUGUAUAAGAAACAAUGAACAGGAACUGAUGAAGAGGUGCAGCAGAUUAAGUUAAGGAAAAGAGGCUCUCCAUCUUCUGGCCUGGCGACUGAGAGGAGGCAAAGAGACGCAGCUGGACAGCUGGAAACCCGACACCUGUCAGCGUGUUAAAGAGCGGCCUUUCGAGUGUGAG